AUUGAACGCUGGCGGCAGGCCUAACACAUGCAAGUCGAGCGCGCGGCGGACGGGGGUGUAAAGUCUGGGAAACUGCCUGAUGGAGGGGGAGAACUACUGGAGACGGUAGCUAAUACCGCAUACCAUCAGAUGUGCCCAGAUGGGAUUAGCUAGUAGGUGGGGUAACGGCUCACCUGGGUGACGAUCCCUAGCUGGUCUGAGAGGAUGACCAGCCACACUGGAACUGAGACACGGUCCAGACUCCUACGGGAGGCAGCAGUGGGGAAUAUUGCACAAUGGGCGCAAGCCUGAUGCAGCCAUGCCGCGUGUGUGAAGAAGGCCUUCGGGUUGUAAAGCACUUUCAGCGGGGAGGCGUUACCCGCAGAAGAAGCACCGGCUAACUCCGUGCCAGCAGCCGCGGUAAUUC
rnacentral:rRNA from 1 species